rnacentral:rRNA from 1 species
UCGCCGCCGACGACGUCGCGAGAAGUCCACUGAACCUUAUCAUUUAGAGGAAGGAGAAGUCGUAACAAGGUUUCCGUAGGUGAACCUGCGGAAGGAUCAUUGUCGAUGCCUGCAAAGCAGAACGACCCGCGAACCGUUUCUCAACACCCGGGGCACAGGAGGGCGUUUAGCUGCUCGGUGUCCCGACGCUUCGGACGUUGAGGGUGCGAGCCACCCCCGGCAGAUGGAGCAUCAAACACACCCCGGCGUGCAAAGCGCCAAGGUACUCCAACGGUAGGGCAAGCACCCGUAGGCCUGGACUCCAGCGCGUUCGGGUGUCUGUUCGGUGUCAUAAAUCUAAACGACUCUCGGCAACGGAUAUCUCGGCUCUCGCAUCGAUGAAGAACGUAGCGAAAUGCGAUACUUGGUGUGAAUUGCAGAAUCCCGUGAACCAUCGAGUCUUUGAACGCAAGUUGCGCCCGAAGCCUUGGCUGAGGGCACGCCUGCCUGGGUGUCACGCAGCRCGUUGCCUCCAAAACCUUUCCCCUCGUAACAUUGUGGUGGAUGGUUUGGACGCGGAAGGUGGCCUCCCGUGACCACGAGCCACGGAUGGCCCAAAUAUGUGCUGGGGAAGCGAAGCGCCACGGCGUUCGGUGGUCGGCAUAGCCCCCUGAGGCAAUGAAGCCCGUGGUAGCCGCGAGAGUCCCCGGUCUACGACCCUAAUCAUUAACCAAUGCGACCUCAGGUCAGGCGGGGCUACCCGCUGAGUUUAAGCAUAUCAAUAAGCGGAGG